GACGAACGCUGGCGGCGUGCUUAACACAUGCAAGUCGAACGAGUGGCGAACGGGUGAGUAAUACGUGAGUAACCUGCCCUCGUUUUGGGAUAAUCCUUGGAAACGGGGUCUAAUACCGGAUCCAGGUGGAUGGGCUCGCGGCCUGUCAGCUGGUUGGUGGGUUGCUGGCCUACCAAGGCGGUGACGGGUAGCCGGCAUGAGCGGGUGACCUGCGACAGUGGGACGGCGAUACGGCCCAGACUACUACGCGAUGGAGAAGUGGGGGAUAUGGCACAAUGGGCGAAAGCGUGAUGCAGCGACGCCGAGUGGGGGAUGAGGGCUUUCGGGUUGUAAACCUCUUUCGCUAUGGAACGGGUAGGUGGAGAAGAAGCGCCGGCUAACUACGUGCCAGCAGCCGCGGUAAUAC
rnacentral:rRNA from 1 species